rnacentral:misc_RNA from 1 species
UCAAACUUGGUCAUUUAGAGGAAGUAAAAGUCGUAACAAGGUUUCCGUAGGUGAACCUGCGGAAGGAUCAUUAUCGAGUUUUGAAACGGGUUGUAGCUGGCCUCAUACGGGGCAUGUGCACACCUGGCUCAUCCACUACUCAACCCCUGUGCACUUAUUGUAGGUCGGUGAAAGGUUCUUUCUGUCGGGUUCUUAAUUGAACUUGAAGAAAAAGCUGGAAGCCUUCCUACGUUUAUACCACAAACGCUUCAGUUAUAGAAUGUAAUCUCUGCGUAUAACGCAUUUAUAUACAACUUUCAGCAACGGAUCUCUUGGCUCUCGCAUCGAUGAAGAACGCAGC